GUUCGCUUCGGCGAUACAUAUACUAAAAUUGGAACGAUACAGAGAAGAUUAGCAUGGCCCCUGGGCAAAAUGUUGUUUUAUAAUUGUGAUUUUUUU